GCCCGAAUGGCUCAGUCGGUUAAGCGUCUGACUUCAGCUCAGGUCAUGAUCUCAGGUUUGUGAGUUCGAGCCCUGCAUCGGGCU
rnacentral:tRNA from 1 species